ensembl:lncRNA
UUUUUUUUUUUUUUUUUUUUGCUUUUUAGGGCCACAUUCAUGGCAUAUGGAAUUUCCUAGCUGUAGCUCUGAUUCGACCCCUAUCCUGGGAACUUCCAUAUGCUACAGGUGCAGCCCUUUAAAAAAAAAAAAAAAAAAGCUUAUUGUAUAGAUUACAUAAAAUAGCACGUGUUUCAGAAAGUUGACUUGAAUCCUUCCACUUGUGUGGAAGUUCUCAUCAUUCUUUCCCUGCUCAGGGGAGCAUGGCUUUGCCUCUCAUUAGUAGUUUUGGGGUACUGAGCAGUUAAGUGGGAUUGAAGAGCACAUGGUAGCUAUUUCUGAAAUUCAUCCCAACCCCCAGAUUGACUCAAGUGUGUGAAUCCCUCGCCCAGUCUUUCUCUGACCAGUGGUUGUAGUUUGUUAAUAAUGAAUGAACAUCACCCAUAGGUCCUGAAAUUAGCAAGUGUUAAAUGUUAUGUGAUUAUUAGGUGAAAAACAAGAUAACCUAGUCAGUGGACUUAAUUAGGUUGUGAUUGCCCAGUUGCUGCUUCAUGAUAAUUAUAUUCAUAACCCCGUUUCUAGACGUCAACUACAAUUAUCAAAAUUGACCCCAGCACAGGUAAGUGUUAGCAAUCUUAUUUGAAGCAGCUUCUGAAGGGUGAAUUUCUGAUGUUCCUGGUACAUUCCUCCUGGUCCUUUAUCCUUUCUUGCCACCUUCCCAUCAUCUUUUUCCCCAUUUUAAUAGAAAGGUCAGGCGCAACAUCAUCUUGUCUCUGACCAUGCACAUGUUAUAUAGCUGGUAUUGGUGUCUAAAAAAAUAUAAAGUUUUAAGAUUUUCAGACUCAAAUAUGGCUGAAAAAAUUAAUAAAUCAGCAAAUAGGAAUCUUGAAGCCUAAACAUCUAAAAUUUUUGGCUAGAUUUUUUUUCUCAGCUCAUGACACCUGUUCAGUAGAUUUAAUGGGAUUCAUUUGAAUAGAUCUUUUACUUUAUAAGGCAUGGUCUUAAAAUGAAUAAGAGAGUCAUCUGUGUUCAAGAUAAUGCCUUGUCAAUGUGAUCAUCAAGGUCUGAGGGGUACAGAAUGAGGGCUUUUAACUUUAUGUGACCACCCUCCAUGUCUUCCCAAAUUCAUGGCAUUUGCCUUCAGUGUAUUUUAGUAGAAAAAGAAAAUGUCAUUGCCAGGGACAUUCUUUACUGUUAUCUCUUAAACGAAGUCAUUGAUUUCUAGGAAAUAUAAACAACAACCUGUAUCAGAAGUGGGUAUGUCAGUGUGACACUGUGAAUCACUGGGCCAGAUUGUCACUUGGCAGCCUUCCCUUUCUGACGUGCAGUUAGUUAUAUGGGAAAGUAAUGCAAUUAAAAUCUGCAAACCAUGGCUGAACUUCAUUGCAGCUGAACGGUUUGAGAACAGCAAGGAACGAGGCUACCAUGUCUACCGAUAUAUGGGUGUGUGUGUGUAUGUAUUUAUGUAUAAAUAUGUAUAAGUAUGUGAAUAUAAAAUAUAUUGUGAAUAUAUUUUAGGUAGAUGGACCAAUCGAUCAAUAGAUUGAUCUAUCGAUUGGUUGAUUGAUAGAUAUAUCUUCUUGCUGGGAGAAGGCUUAUUUUUUUGCUGACGGAUCAGGAGUGCAAAUUUCUCAGAAUUUCUGUGUGAACAUGUAGUUCUCUGUGCUGGGGUUUUCCUUAAGAAAGUGGUGUGUAGUUGGUGGAGCAUACUCUUUGGGUCUUGCACAAGCAAAAGUUAAAUUGCACCUUUGUUCUUGCCCAGCUGUGUGAUCUUGAAUAAGUCACUUAACUUCUCUGUUCCCAUGAUUGCCUACCCAAUAAAAUGGGGAUAAUAAUAUGAAUCUGGAGAACUGACGUAAGGACCGAAACGUGUAUAAGGGCCCUUCUUCCUUGGGAAUAGAGAAAAUGAGGUGGGGAGGUCUAGACUGGCUAUGAACUGUUUUGUCCUCUGUCUUAGACUCAAUGUUAAGAUUCAUGUUAUGCCAUGUCUGACUUAAGUGAUGGGAAGUCCUUGUUGCUUGUAUCCAUUUACUUUUCUGGGUUGUGAGCCUCCGGUCUGGCUGGCUGUGGUCCUGAAGCUCUCCGUAGUUGGGAUUUAUAAACCACCUGAAGAUGAUCCCAGGUCUCCUUGGGAAAGUGCACUGACCCUCCACUUUGCAGAGAUAGAUAUUCCCUGGGGUGUUGUGGGAAUGAUUCUGAAUCAAGGUGAACUUCAAGAGCUUUUUGGAAAAAUGGUGUUAUUACCAUGCCUCUUGUCUGGCAUUGUUCUGGCAAAAAUGAUGUGUCUAAGAGCACUGUAUUCACUCAGUGAAAAUAGGAGCUAUGCCCCUUUCUGGCUUUGCUCAGAUAGCUCUCUCUGAGCCAGUUUGAGGGCUGUCCUCUGGCCUUGCUUUGAAUUGCAUGGUCUUCUCUGUGCAAACGUUUAUUUUAGUAGUCCAUGUCCACUUGGUCUUACUAAUGUACUGUAAUAUCAGAUGCUUGGAGAUCUCAGGGGUAGGGAGGCUAAUUUUAGAGUGCCUUCAGGAUAGAUGAUAUUUCAAAAUGUGGAAGGGUGUUGGUAGGGCUUACCAGGACUUACCUAACCUGGACUGCUCCAUGUCAGUAGAACCUUCUUUGGUGGCUCCUUGGUGGCAGCAAUAAAAAACGAGUCACUAGUUCUUAGGUAACAAAGUAUAGUGAUUUUUUUUCACCUUUCAAAGCAGAUUAGUCAUGAAGACUUAGUUAUUUUUACAUUUUGAAGGUUUCCGGAAAGGCAAGGGUGUUGGUGGAAAUUCUUUUUUUUGGGGGGGGGGCUGUGUCUGUGGCCUAUAGAACUUACCAGGCCAGGGAUCAAACCUGAACCACAGCAGUGACCUAAGCCGCUGCAGUGACAAUGCCUGAUCCCUAACCCCCUGUGCCACAAGAGAACUCCCAGAAUUUUUUUUUUUUUUUAAUUAUUGAAAAGAAACCUUCAUGUUGCUACUUUAAAAUUGUGGCCAGAGAUAUUGGAGGAGGAGAGAAAAAAGAGACCAUAUAUUUUAUUUAUUUACCAGUGUUCAGAUCUCUAGGAUGAUCUCAAGUGAGAGAUUUUUGGUCUCAGAAGGUGGACCCCAAAAUGAAAGGAGUGGAAGUGAAGCCCUGGCUAUGGUGUGGUUAAAAGAAUGUGGAAUGCCCUCAGUCAAGUAAGAAAGGUCGAGAGAAACAGGAGGGACUGAAACUAGGACUUCCUGGGAUGCCAGAAAAGCUCUGGGAGUGGAAAGCUCUUUCCAUUUUCCCCAAGCCCUAGGGAGGGAAAGGUAGAUUUGGGGGUGCCACUUUGCCACGUGUUCAGUUCUUUCCAAGCUGUAAGAUCCUUACUUAUUUGUGGCAGCCUAGUAGUAGUAGGAAAGUGAUUGGCUUCACUUGGGUCAAGUUCCUCAUUUGCUCCUGGCCUCCAGUUUAUCUUCAAAAUGGAAUUCCCUCUUUGGCGAAGGCUUAGAGACAUAAUGUAUGUAAAACACCCAGCACGCUGCCAGGUACUCAGUGAACGGCCACCUCUGCAGUUCAUUUGCAAUGAUCGAUUAGUGGCCAUCUAGUGCCUGUGGUGCAGAUGGCUUGCUCCUUGCCAUUUUUUUCUGCCGCCUGGCUUUGCCUUCCUAGUUUGUAGUUGUGGGAUGAUGAUAGAGUUGGAAAGAAUUCAGUGUCUUCACUCUCUCGUAAAAUGUUUUAUAGAUGCUGUUAUAUUUAAGAAAUAUGUGCUCAUUCAUCUUUAUUCAUUCAUCAAACAUUUAUUGAGGGCCCUUUGAGUACUUGGCACGCCUGCAGUGUGCCUAGGUGGUCGAACCCAGUGGAGGUGGGAAUCUCUCUACCAGUUGUGUUAGGUUCUUUGUCUUGGUAAUUGGGAGUGAUUAUGAUGGAGAUGGCGGUCCUUAAUCACACUCCAAUGAACCAGAGGGUGGCGAACCCUGGCCCGAGGCAGUGAGACCUGGAUUCCUAUUUAGAUGCAUGUAUUUCUGCGUCUUUGUGUGUAUAUGUUUACAAUAUAAUUUGCUAACUGUGUAGUUAAGGCUACUGGGGUGCAUAAUCUGGCAGAUCAUUUAAAUAUUUACACCGAAAUAUCUUGUUCUCUGUUGGUGUGAAGUAGAGUUUCCAGUUAUUUUUAGGUCAUUUUCAUCUUAGCAACCCUGUUGGAGAUGAACCAGACACACUGCUGUAAACUGUCCCCACAUUUUGAUCGAAUUUAAUAAAGUAAAGUUGAAUGGUUUGGUCCCAAGAGGCCAACCAACCAUCUGGUUAGCAGAAGGGUUAGGUCGAGUAUUGCAUGGCUGCUGAGAGGGCCACAGACCAGCCCCGAUGUCCUGGUAAUAUGUCCAGUGGCUGCAUGCAUUAAGCAUGGAAAUGGUGCUUUCAAGUCUGCAGAGCCAGCAGUUCUGUUACCACCGCUGUGACGCAGGAGAUAAUUCAGCUGGGCAAGCGGCAGCGUGGGGGUGGAUCUACAGUACAGGAUGUGUAAUGUCAACAUGAAGGAUUGGAGCUGGCAGAAGGAAGGGAAGCACUCAUUUCAUGCCAGUGCAGGAAGCCUAAAGAUGCAUCCCGCCCCCACACCCCCUUUGCAUCUUGUCCUCUUCUGGAGCUUUCCCAUGAUGUGUUAAAUGAUUACCUUGUGCAUGGUCCAUGGCAAAACUUCAGCUGAUUUCCUGCCUCUUUUGGAACCUGUCAGCAUAAACCUAGUGAACCACAUUCCACACACAUGUAGGGCGGGCAGAGGCAGGAGUUAGUGGCACCGCCUGGGAGGAGGAGCCAGAGUUUUGUUAGGCAGGAGCAUCUUUGCGCUUGGAGAUGGAAUCCCAUUGUACGUCCCUUUGUGCUCAGCUCUGAGACUGGCCAUCCGUUCAAAGGCUGCAAUCAUCUCGGCACAUUGUGCUGCAGCUGUAGUUGGGAGAAGGCUGCAGAAUGGUUCCAGUGAUUCUGCAGAAGCUCGGCAAUUACAUAAUUGCUAUGUAACUGGAGAGAGCCAUCAGGAUUGUCUAGUUCUCCUGGAGAGAAAGCUCCUACAAUUUGAGGGCUAGAUUGUUUUCCCUUGUUAAACCUGAAGGCUGAUGAGCAAGUACAUCAAGCCACCAGGCUGGAACCGGGGCCUCUCAGGGGCCUGAGAGGGCACAAAAUUCACAAGUACACUUGGCUGAACACUCAGUGGACUUCACAGCUGUGUUAAAGGGAGAGAGAGGGCGAGAGCAAGUCACUGACUCUUGGAAAAGUGGAUUCUUAUAUCAGCCAAACAUGAUAUUGGACUUGCCUCUAGUAUUUGGGACUCUGUUCUGUAUGCAUUCAAAGCAUAGAGGAUUCCAGUCUCCUGCUCCCAGGAAUGGGACUAGCAGAGUUGCACUUGACCACCAAGAGCCCUCUCAGUUUCUGCUGCCUGCUCAGAAGGAUUUCACAGUCUUUCUCUCUCUUUUCAAUUUUUUAUUUUUUGCUUUUUAGGACUGCCCCUGCAACAUAGGGAAGUUCCCAGGCUAGGGGUCGAAUCAGAGCUACAGCUGCCAGCCUACACCACAGCCACAGCAAUGUGGGAUCUGAGCCUUGUCUGCGACCUACACCUCACCUCACUGCAACGCUGGAUCCUUCACCCACUGAAUGAGGCCUGGGAUCGAACCCGCACCCUCAUGAGUACUAGUUGACUUCGUUACUGCUGAGCCAUGAUGGGAACUCCUCGCAGCCUCUCUGAAAGCUCUUAGAUGCAGAUGAGUGGAAGGAGGGUGAGGCCUACCCUACCCCUCAGGCCUUUCUAAAUGCGCUGGCUCCCUGGGCUUCAGACCCUGGUGCAGUGCCUGGGCAGCCUGGGGGCUGGAGCAGACUGGACAGUUUGUCUGGGAAGACCUCACAGCGAAGGAAUGAAUUCCUUCUUUCAGCUACCUUACCGCUUGUUUUCCCUGGUGGAGAAAAUUUUGAGGUGGAGUUGGUUAGAUGUAGGCGCAAGGGUUGCAUUAAACCAGCGAGAGCCUCGGGCUCCAAGUCUCAUCAGAUACCUACCGAAGCAGUCACCUAAAAUUAGCCACACCUCCUAACCCAAGUGAGGGUUUUAUGUUUGUUUAUGUUAAGUAGCUCUAAAUUUCAGCAAUCCUACCUUUCUGGGCACAGUUUUGUGGAGCUGGUAGAGUAGAAAGAGUGGUUGUUGGGGUAAUUUUUAUUAAUGGCCUAAGUUGGACCUUUCAUAACUAUGAUAUUCAUCUGUUUUUUUCUAUUUAAAUGUGUUUGUACUCAGAACUUCAGCCUAAGGGAAAAUUCUACCUUGUGGCUCCUUUGUGAAUUAAAAGGGAGUCCCCAGGAGUUCCCUGGUGGCCUUGUGGGUUAAGGACCUGCUGUUGUCACUGCUGUGGCUCUGGUUACUUGUGUGGCGUGGGUUCAGUCCCUGGCGUGGGAACAUCCACAUGCUGCAGCUCCCUCGCCAAAAAAAAAAGGAGCAUCCAGCAGGCAGUAUUAGGACUCGGACUUCCAAAAUGGAUUAGGUCCACAGAUUCCUAGACCUUUUACCUUUAGACGUCUGCUUUCCUCUGUAUUCCUGGGCCUAAUGCUGAGGUAGAUGGAAGAUAAGAGUUUGUUUAGGAAGCUUGAUUCCUAUGAAAGAGGACUGGUGGGUUUUUUGGGUUUUCAAGGAGCCAACCUGAUUCAGCACCAAGCUUUUAUUUUGGAGCAAUCUGGAGGGAUAUAGGAUCACCCAUGGUGACCCUUGCCUGCGUCAUUCCAGGCAGGCCUUGGCAGGCUCCAGCAGAUGAGUAAGGACGAGGGCAAUUGGCAGGAGGACCCGCUGAGUUCAUCUUGCUUCAUAUCUCAGGAACUGGCCUGACCUCGUUCCAUCAUCAGUGUUUGGGCAUUCUGAGAAACACCGGACCAUCUCUCAAGGGUUCUGGAGAUUGUGUUGGAAGCAGCAUGCUCUCCUACUGGGAAGGAACACCUGCUUUAUUGCUGAGAGCACACAGGAGGGAACCCUUUGCUCUCAGUGUUGGGAGGCCUCUGAAGACCUUGGCAGUGAGGGCCAUGGUAUGUCGUGGAAAGAACAUAGACCUCAGAGCCAUUGCGUAGUCGUGUGACCUUCAGCGACUUAAUCUCUGAUCCUCAACUUCCUGAUCUGGAAAAAAAAAAAAAAAAA